rnacentral:rRNA from 1 species
GACGAACGCUGGCGGCGUGCUUAACACAUGCAAGUCGAACGUGAUUUUUGUGGAAAUUCUUUCGGGAAUGGAAAUGAAAUGAAAGUGGCGAACGGGUGAGUAACACGUGAGCAACCUACCUUACACAGGGGGAUAGCCGUUGGAAACGACGAUUAAUACCGCAUGAGACCACAGAAUCGCAUGAUAUAGGGGUCAAAGAUUUAUCGGUGUAAGAAGGGCUCGCGUCUGAUUAGCUAGUUGGAAGGGUAAAGGCCUACCAAGGCGACGAUCAGUAGCCGGUCUGAGAGGAUGAACGGCCACAUUGGAACUGAGACACGGUCCAAACUCCUACGGGAGGCAGCAGUGGGGAUAUUGCACAAUGGGGGGAACCCUGAUGCAGCGACGCCGCGUGAGCGAAGAAGGUUUUCGAAUCGUAAAGCUCUGUCCUAUGAGAAGAUAAUGACGGUAUCAUAGGAGGAAGCCCCGGCUAAAUACGUG